CCCUUCUUCCACCAUAUCGUGCAAGUCGAGCGGUAGCACAAGAGAGCUUGCUCUCUGGGUGACGAGCGGCGGACGGGUGAGUAAUGUCUGGGAAACUGCCUGAUGGAGGGGGAUAACUACUGGAAACGGUAGCUAAUACCGCAUGACGUCUUCGGACCAAAGUGGGGGACCUUCGGGCCUCACGCCAUCAGAUGUGCCCAGAUGGGAUUAGCUAGUAGGUGGGGUAAUGGCUCACCUAGGCGACGAUCUCUAGCUGGUCUGAGAGGAUGACCAGCCACACUGGAACUGAGACACGGUCCAGACUCCUACGGGAGGCAGCAGUGGGGAAUAUUGCACAAUGGGCGCAAGCCUGAUGCAGCCAUGCCGCGUGUAUGAAGAAGGCCUUCGGGUUGUAAAGUACUUUCAGCGAGGAGGAAGGCAUUAAGGUUAAUAACCUUGGUGAUUGACGUUACUCGCAGAAGAAGCACCGGCUAACUCCGUGCCAGCAGCCGCGGUAAUACGGAGGGUGCAAGCGUUAAUCGGAAUUACUGGGCGUAAAGCGCACGCAGGCGGUUUGUUAAGUCAGAUGUGAAAUCCCCGAGCUUAACUUGGGAACUGCAUUUGAAACUGGCAAGCUAGAGUCUUGUAGAGGGGGGUAGAAUUCCAGGUGUAGCGGUGAAAUGCGUAGAGAUCUGGAGGAAUACCGGUGGCGAAGGCGGCCCCCUGGACAAAGACUGACGCUCAGGUGCGAAAGCGUGGGGAGCAAACAGGAUUAGAUACCCUGGUAGUCCACGCUGUAAACGAUGUCGACUUGGAGGUUGUGCCCUUGAGGCGUGCCUUCCGGAGCUAACGCGUUAAGUCGACCGCCUGGGGAGUACGGCCGCAAGGGUUAAAACUCAUAUGAAUUGACGGGGGCCGCACAAGCGGUGGGAGCAUGUGGGUUUAAUUCGAUGCAACGCGAAGAACCUUACCUACUCUUGACAUCCAGAGAAUUUGCUAGAGAUAGCUUAGUGUCCUUCGGGAACUCUGAGACAGGUGCUGCAUGACCUGUCGUUCAGCUCGUGCUUGUGCAAAUGAUGAGAUAGUACCGCAACGAAGCGCAACCAUAAUCCAUUGGUGGCAGGCGAGUAUGUCGGCAACUUCAAAGGAGUACCUGGAG
rnacentral:rRNA from 1 species